rnacentral:rRNA from 1 species
GAUGAACGCUGGCGGCGUGCCUAACACAUGCAAGUCGAGCGGCAGCGAGGGGUGCUUGCACCCUGUCGGCGAGCGGCGGACGGCUGAGUAACGCGUGGGAACGUUCCCCAAAGUGAGGAAUAACUGCCCGAAAGGGUAGCUAAUACCGCAUAUUAUCUUCGGAUCAAAGGAUUUAUCCGCUUUGGGAGCGGCUCGCGUCGGAUUAGGUAGUUGGUGAGGUAAUGGCUCACCAAGCCGACGAUCCGUAGCUGGUCUGAGAGGAUGACCAGCCAGACUGGAACUGAGACACGGUCCAGACUCCUACGGGAGGCAGCAGUGAGGAAUCUUCCACAAUGGGCGAAAGCCUGAUGGAGCAACGCCGCGUGCAGGACGAAGGCCUUCGGGUUGUAAACUGCUUUUAUAAGUGAGGAAUAUGACGGUAACUUAUGAAUAAGGAUCGGCUAACUACGU